rnacentral:rRNA from 1 species
GAAACGGGUGUAAUGCCGGAUGCUCCAGUUGACCGCAUGGUCCUCUGGGAAAGCUUUUGCGGUAUGGGAUGGGGUCGCGUCCUAUCAGCUUGAUGGCGGGGUAACGGCCCACCAUGGCUUCGACGGGUAGCCGGCCUGAGAGGGCGACCGGCCGCAUUGGGACUGAGAUACGGCCCAGACUCCUACGGGAGGCAGCAGUGGGGAAUAUUGCACAAUGGGCGCAAGCCUGAUGCAGCGACGCCGCGUGCGGGAUGACGGCCUUCGGGUUGUAAACCGCUUUUGACUGGGAGCAAGCCCUUCGGGGUGAGUGUACCUUUCGAAUAAGCACCGGCUAACUACGUGCCAGCAGCCGCGGUAAUACGUAGGGUGCAAGCGUUAUCCGGAAUUAUUGGGCGUAAAGGGCUCGUAGGCGGUUCGUCGCGUCCGGUGUGAAAGUCCAUCGCUUAACGGUGGAUCCGCGCCGGGUACGGGCGGGCUUGAGUGCGGUAGGGGAGACUGGAAUUCCCGGUGUAACGGUGGAAUGUGUAGAUAUCGGGAAGAACACC